UCAGUUCGGAUUGUAGGCUGCAUCUCGCCUACAUGAAGUUGGAAUCGCUAGUAAUCGCGAAUCAGAAUGUCGCGGUGAAUACGUUCCCGGGUCUUGUACACACCGCCCGUCACACCACGAGAGUUUACAACACCCGAAGUCAGUGGCCUAACCGCAAGGAGGGAGCUGCCUAAGGUGGGGUAGAUGAUUGGGGUGAAGUCGUAACAAGGUACC
rnacentral:rRNA from 1 species